rnacentral:rRNA from 1 species
CGCGGCCUAUCAGCUUGUUGGUGGGGUAACGGCCUACCAAGGCAUCGACGGGUAGCCGGCCUGAGAGGGUGUCCGGCCACACUGGGACUGAGAUACGGCCCAGACUCCUACGGGAGGCAGCAGUGGGGAAUAUUGCACAAUGGGCGCAAGCCUGAUGCAGCGACGCCGCGUGAGGGAUGACGGCCUUCGGGUUGUAAACCUCUUUCAGUACAGACGAAGCGUAAGUGACGGUAUGUACAGAAGAAGCACCGGCCAACUACGUGCCAGCAGCCGCGGUAAUACGUAGGGUGCGAGCGUUGUCCGGAAUUACUGGGCGUAAAGAGCUCGUAGGUGGUUUGUCGCGUUGUUCGUGAAAACCUGAGGCUUAACCUUGGGCGUGCGGGCGAUACGGGCAGACUGGAGUACUGCAGGGGAGACUGGAAUUCCUGGUGUAGCGGUGGAAUGCGCAGAUAUCAGGAGGAACACCGGUGGCGAAGGCGGGUCUCUGGGCAGUAACUGACGCUGAGGAGCGAAAGCGUGGGGAGCGAACAGGAUUAGAUACCCUGGUAGUCCACGCCGUAAACGGUGGGUACUAGGUGUGGGUUUCCUUCCUUGGGAUCCGUGCCGUAGCUAACGCAUUAAGUACCCCGCCUGGGGAGUACGG